rnacentral:rRNA from 1 species
GAGGAAUAUUGGUCAAUGGGCGCAAGCCUGAACCAGCCAUCCCGCGUGCAGGAAGACGGCGCUAUGCGUUGUAAACUGCUUUUCCAGGGAGAGAAACUUGCGCACGUGUUGCGCAAUUGACGGUACCCUGGGAAUAAGCAUCGGCUAACUCCGUGCCAGCAGCCGCGGUAAUACGGAGGAUGCGAGCGUUAUCCGGAUUCAUUGGGUUUAAAGGGUGCGUAGGCGGACUAUUAAGUCAGUGGUGAAAUCCUGCAGCUUAACUGGAGAACUGCCAUUGAUACUGAUAGCCUUGAGUUUGGUUAAGGUAGGCGGAAUGUGUAAUGUAGCGGUGAAAUGCUUAGAUAUUACACAGAACACCAAUUGCGUAGGCAGCUUACUGAGCCGACACUGACGCUGAGGCACGAAAGCGUGGGGAUCGAACAG